AUGCUAAAUGGCAUCCCUGGCAGAUGGAUUAGGUGUAAAAAUGGACCCCGUCAAGGGGAUCCACUUUCAUCCUAUAUCUUCAUCAUCAUCGCAGACAUUUUGCAGCAACUGGUUAUCAAAGCUAAUAGCGAUGGCAUGCUCCUGCAUCCCCUUAACACCGCCUUACCGUGUCCUGUCUUACAAUACGUUGAUGAUACUCUCAUCAUCGUCAAAGCUAGCCCCGAGUCGGCUAUUCACUUGAAGCAGAUCCUCAACAAUUUCACUGCCCCCACUGGGCUUCAGGUUAAUUUUAAUAAA
rnacentral:rRNA from 1 species